UUGACUCAAUCUAGAAAGGAAUAGUAACAGCUUAUAUUGCUUUUGAAACUGGCUGAUAGCAUGUGAUCAACAGUCCCAAGAGAUGGACACCAUUAAUUUUUACAAAUAAGGAACAGACUCACAGAGUUUGAGAAACUUUGGGAUCACUCAACUAGUAGGAGUUCAGUCCGGAUUUAGAACAAGGGACUAUCUGCUUUUAGAGCCCAAGACCUUAACAUCUCAUUCCUCAACUCAUUAAAUGCGGAAGGUUCACUAACCACGUGCAGGGCGGGGUGCUAGCCCCUGGGGAUACAAAAUGAUCAAGAAAAGGACGCCAUCAUACUAAAUCAGUAAAGGAAACAGAUAAAGAAAUCCUCAUAAAACAGCGGAUUGGGUGGGACGAUAACAAUCUGUGCUUGGUACAGAGGUAGCUCCUGGGAAGGGAAGAACUCAGACCCAGAAAUCAGAAACGCAAACUGGCAGUGGCAGGCGAACCUGACGCCUGCAGGGCUGCGGCGAAACCGCGUAUGCCACACCGAGGGAAUGGCAGCUGGAAAGAGAGGCACGCGACAGGCCUAAGGAGACCCGUGGCACGUAGCAGCUGCCCCCGGAACAGCGCCUGGGGGCUCUGCAGGCGCUGACCAGUUUCCCGGAGGCGGCGGCCGCGGACCCAGCACGGUCACCGUCGCCGCUGCCGAGAAGAGCCGUCGGGUCGCGAUGGGUGGACAGGCCUUCCGGGGGAGCGUCGCCCGGCACAUACCCUGACAGUCCCGACCGCAGACGCCAGGGAUGGGACAGGCUCCCGGGGAGCAUCUCCUGUUCCUCCUCCCUGACCGGCCUUCUUAGGCGCUGGGGAGGGGCCGGACUCCCGAGAAGCGUCCACUCGGCCACCCUCCCCGGCAGGCCCGACUUCAGACGCCGCGCGCCGGGACAGAGCGCCCGGGGAGGGUCCCCAACGCAGAUGCCCGGUUGCUGGGCGCGAGGGGCUCGGCCCCUGAAAAGGCCGCAGAACUGCGCUGGAAAUGAAUAAAAGCAGCCCGGUUUGAAACCAAGGCCGACGCAGGGCUUGGGAGGAGAGGCAAAGGAAAACCCUUACCUCAUGAUGGCAGCGCUCUGCAGGCCGUCCGGGCGGCGCAGUCCCUCGGAUCGCUCUCUCCUCAGCACCGGGGACCGCGGGAAGCCGCGCGGUGGGCGUGCGCGUGCGCGUGCGCGCGCCAGGCCUCUGCAGCCCCUGGACUCGGCCGCGCGGCGUGUCUUUGUUAAAGGAGAGACCCCAGCCCCAGCAAGAACAGGAAACUGGAGAUUGAAUCAGAUGCCGAGCGCUCAGAAACUGAAACUUAAGAAAUCGAAACUAAACGUAAGCUUCAGAAACCGAAACUUAAUAGAAGAGCUCAAGAGCCGCGGCCAGACGUUUGCGGAGUCCAGGGUCUUUCGGAGUUGAAUUUGCAGCUGGGCUCCUUCACUUUGGUCUCGGCUUUUAUCUGCCUCCCUGAUAGGUUUUUGGUCUUGGUGACUUCAAGAAUGAAGCUGCGGACUCUCGCUGUGAGUGCUACAGUUGUUAAAGAUGGCGUGUCUGGAGUUUGUUCCUUUCGAUGUUCAGAUGUGUCUGGAGUUUCUUCCUUCUGGUGAGUUCGUGGUCUUGCUGACUUCAGGAGUGCAGCUGCAGACCUUCACAGUGAGUGUUACAGAUCUUAAAGGUGGCGCGUCCGGAGUUGUUCGUUCCUCCCGGUGGGUUCGUGGUUUCACUGACUUCAGGAGUAAAGCCGUAGACCUUUGUGGUGAGUGUUACAGCUCAUAAAGGCAGUGUGGACCCAAAGAGUGAGCAGCAGCAAGAUUCGUUGCGAAGAGCGAAAGAACAAAACUUCCACGACGUGGAAGCAGACCCGAGCAGGUUGCCGCUGCUGGCUGGGGUGGCCUGCUUUUAUUCCCUUAUUUGGCUCCACCCAUAUCCUGCUGAUUGGUCCAUUUUACAGAGAGCUGAUUGGUCCACUUUACAAAGUGCUGAUUGGUCCAUUUUACAGAGUGCUGAUUGGUCCAUUUUACAGAGUGCUGAUUGGUCCAUUUUGACAGAGUGCUGAUUGGUGCGUUUACAAACUUUUAGCUACACACAGAGUGCUGAUUGGUGCGUUUACAAUCCUUUAGCUAGACAGAAAAGUUCUCUGAGUCCCCACCUGACCCAGAAGCCCAGCCAGCUUCACCUCUCAAUCCCCCCUCUAAACAGGACACCCCAAUUGCUGAUGGGAAUUUGGCUGAUGACUGCUCUAGCUACUUUCUGCUGGAUAGGGGCGAAGAAGGGGCCCUGUAGGUGUAGUGUCCUCCAGAGGGGAACUCUUUAGGCCAGUGGAAGGGCCAGCAGGUCAGUCCAGGGGUCCUCGGUAGAAGUUGUUAGUUGAACUCAUUUGGGGUUCCAUUUGUAAGACCAUCUGUAGCUUGAGGGCCUCAAUUCUAGAGGAAACAAAUUUGACAAGAAGGUUAAAAACACAGGGCCCAAAGACAAGUAACAGCAAGAUGGCUGCCACAGGACCUAGAAAGGGGAGAAGCCAUGUUGCCCAACUCCAGAGGUUGGUAUAAGAGUUUGAAAGGUGUUGUCUGAUUUCAGAAGCCUUUUCCUGUAAACACCGGGUGGCAUCUCGUGCUAUCCCUGACUGGUUAGUGUAAAAACAACACUCUUCCCCUAAGAAGCUGCACAGUCCUCCUUUCUCAGCAGUGAGGAGGUCUAGGCCUUGGCGAUUUUGGAGAGUCGCUGCUGCCAAAGAGUCUGUUUGGGAUUGUAGAGUAAGGAUAGAUUUCAUUAUUUCAUGCAAACUGUCUGAGAAAUCCUUUGAGAGUGUAUGGUAGUAGGAUAAUGCAUGUUACACUGUUAACUUUUAGCAAACUUUACGUUAGUUGAAAACCUUGUAAGUUUGGGAUUUCAAUUAUUCUUUGCUAUUAGUAAGACCUCGUUCAGUCCAUAUUAACUUAGAAUUGGUAUAGAUGGCUCCUUCCUGAUUCUGUAAGUAUUUUAAGGUUUGGCUGAGUGCAAACAGCUGACACAUUUGAGCAGACCAAUUAUUAGGCAAUUUUCCUAACACUGCUUCUACAAGAGUUUCCUUAUUAUUUACUGAAUACCCAUUGUGUUUUUUUUUUCCUUAAUUGCCCAGGAGGAACCAUCUAUCCGUCCUGUCCUGAAGGGAGUUCCUCCUAGAUCUGGUCAGACCUUUGUAUGGGAAUUAAUUAAGAUUUAGAUCCCCUGUUAGGAAACCUGCUGGGUAAGGAUUUUUGAUAGGAAGGCUACUGGUUGUCAGUGGCCUCAGUGCUUUCAGGCUACGCCCUUGUUUACACUGACAGCAAGGUGGUAUUGGAGUGUUAUAGGGUUUCUGAGAAGACCUUCAGUUAUCAAUUAUAGGUUUUAAAUUUACCCUGGCUUUUAAAGGAAUAGGGUACACUGUUUUUUCUUUACUACUUCUAUCUCUCUCUUUGACUUCUUCGUCUCUCUCUUCCUCUCUCUGUCUCUCUCUCUCUGACUUUCUGUCUCUUUCUUGCUUUCCUUUCUGCUGGUGUUUCCCUGCCUCUGCCAGUGGCUUAUGCUGCUGUUCUUCCCUCUCCUUCACCUUUUGAUGGCUUCAGCAGUGUAAGACUGCCACCUCCUUGGGUUUUUGCACCGCGUGCAAUAACUCCGUGGUUUCCCUGUGUUAUUUAAUGGGGGUUCCCCCAGAGGUUAGGAACUCCCUUUCUUUCCAUAUUGCAGCAUGGGCAUGUAGGAUUAGAUAAGCAUGGUUGCUCUCUGUAUACACAUUUAUUGCUUUUUCCUUUCCCAGUUCUAAGGCUCGGGUAAGUGCCACUAGUUCUCCUAACUGGGUGCUGGUCCCUGGGGGAAGAGGCUUACUUUCAAGUAUGGUUACAUCGCUAAAUAUGGCAUAAUCUGUCCUUUGUAUCCCAUUCUCCAUAAAUGAACUUCCAUCGGUAUAUAGGUUAAGGUCAGGAUUAGCUAAGGGGACUUCUAAGGGAUCAUCUCGGGCAGCAUAAGUCUGGACUAAUUUGUUGGCAGUCAUGCUCAAUUGGUUCCCCAACCUCUGGGAGAAAAGUGGCAGGGUUGAGGGCCACGCAUAUAGGUAUUUGAAGCACUGGUCCCUCAAGGAGUAGCACCUGGUAUCUAAGUAGGCAGUUGUCUGAUAGCCAUAAACUUCCUUUGGCACCUAGUAUGCCAUUUACAUCAUGAGUAUCCAGACAGUGAGACCCUUUCCUUAUAUUAUUUUGAUAGCCUCUGACACUAAGAUGGCCACUGCCACAACUACCCUUAAACAGUGAGGCCAGCCUUUUGCUACUAUAUCAGUUUCCUUACUUAGGUAUGCCACUGGUCAUGGGGUUGUCCCACGAGUCUGAGUAAGGACCCCAGGAGCUAUUUCUGCUUUCUCUGUGAUGUUUAAAGAAAAGUUUCAUCCUUUGGGAAGGCUUAAGGCUAGAGCUUGAGUUUGUUUCUUCCAAUGCCCAGACUUCAGGGUUGAUUCCCCUCUCAAGUAGGGGACAACAAAUGGGUAACUUAUUCCUCAUAUUCGUUUAGAUAAUAGCUCCAGCUUUGGCUAAUAUAUCCCUCCCUAAUAAGGGUGUGGGACUUUCAGGCAUAACAAGAAAGACAUGUGAAAAGAGCAAAGUCUCCCAAUUACAUCUGAGGAGGUGGGAGAAACACCUGGUUACAGGCUGUCCCAGGAUUCCUUGGAUGGUAAUGGAACUUGAGGACAGCUGUCCAGGACAGGAGAUUAACACUGAGAAAGCUGCACCAGUGUCCAGGAGGAAGUCAAUUUCCUGCCCCUCAAUGGUUAUACAUACCUGGGGCUCAGUGAGAGUGAUGACAUGAGCUGGUGCUUGCCCCAGGCACCCUCAGUCCUGUUGUUGGAUCAUCUGGUUGGGGGCUUCUGUCCCAGAGAACCUUUGUCCUCUGGGGCAGUGUGCCUUCCAGUGAUUGCUUUGGCAUAGUGGACAUGGGUGAGGGGGCAGCUUGUUUGGACAGUCUUUUUUAAAGCGUCCUUGUAAACCACACUGAUAACAAGCCCUACCGGGUGAUUGGCAUGCUCCAUUUUCUGUCCUCUCUGAACCACCAAGGUUUGUUUGUCUGAGGGCCACGACUAAGGCUGCGGUCUUUCUCUGAUCUCGCUUUUCCUUUUCGGCCUGUUCCUCUUGGUCCCUAUUAUAGAACACCGAGGUUGCCAGGUUUAAUAAUGCCUCCAAAUUUUGUUCAGGGCCCAGGGCUUGCUUUUGGAGCUUUCUCCUGAUAUCUGUGGCUGAUUGGGUAAUAAACUUAUAUUUUAGAAUCAAUUGACCCUCUAGUGAUUCAGAUGACAGGGGAGCAUAUUUUCUUAAGGCCUCCCGUAGCCGCUCAAGGACGGCAGAAGGAUUUUCUUCCUUUCCCUUAGUUAUGGUGGACAUCACUGAAUAAUUCGUGGGCUUUUUCCUAAUUCUCCUUAGUCCUUCUAGAACACAGGUCAACAGAUGUUUACGACUCCAGUCCCCAUGAUCUGAGUUGAGGUCCCAGUGGGGAUCCAUAAUGGGGAUGGCUUGCUGACCAGUAAGGAAUUUGUCCCUUUCUUGGGCUGUCAUUCUAUCAUUUAUCUGACUAAGAUACCAGGUAUCUCCAAACUCUCAGGCUGCAGCUAAAGCCACAUUCUUUUCAUUAAAGGCCAGGGUUUGAUCUACCACUAGCAUGACAUCUCUCUAAGUGAGAUGGAAGGUUUCCCCUAGGCCCUGUAGGACAUCUGUGUACCUAUCAGGAUCAUCUGAAAACUUCUCCAGGUCUGCCUUGAUCUGCUUUAAAUCAGAGAGGGAGCAGGGGACAUGUACCCAGGUUGGGCCAAAUUCCCCUCCCCCUACAGCUUGAAGGGUACAUAACCAAUAGCCCUGGGGUUUUUGUGGUCCUUUGGAGAUUUCUUUGCUUAUUUCCUUCUGGGCAGGGAAGAUUAGAGGAGGCUUAUCAUUAAUAGGAAGGGGAGCUAUAGGAAGGCUAGGAUAUGGGGAUAAGCUGAAAGGUCCUCCUGUGGGAUGUAAAUUGCAAGCUUUGCAUAGUUGUGUAUUUUCCUUCAAUGAAAAGAAAGCUUGGACAUAAGGUAUUUCACUCCAUUUGCCUUCCCUCUUACAGAAAAUAUCAAGCUGAAGGAUAGUAUUGUAAUUUAUACUUCCCUCAGGUGGCCAUUUUUCCCCAUCAGAGAGAGAAUAUUGGGGCCAGGCCAUAGCACAGAAAAAAAUGAGCCACCUCUUUUUCAGGGUUUGCAGGUCAAAUUGGUCCCAAUGGCUUAGGAUGCAUUUCAAGGGUGAGCCUGUUGAUACCUGAGUGUUUUCCUUCUGAAAGACAAAACCACCCAUGGUUUUGGUUUGUUUGUUUCUCCCCCUGCCCAAGAACCCGCAAUGGUCUCUGGACCCUGCUGAUCAGAAUAGUUGCACUCACUGAUGCAGCAGCAGAAACACCUCUUGCCCAAGAACCCGCAAUGGUCCCUGGACCCUGCUGAUUGGAAUAGUUGCACUCACCAAUGCAGCAGCAGAAACACUAGUUUUCCUCCUAGACCACAAGGAGGACUGAGGAAGGUUGGAUUUAGUGGCCCUUACCUACACAUUCUCGAAAACCUGCACCCUUGCCUGUCCUCCUAGACCACAAAGAGGACCGAGAAAAAUCGGACUUAGCGGCCCUUACCGACGCAUUCUCUAAAACCUGUUAGAGUCCUAAGCAUUCUCCUGUUGGUAUUGGGACCUUACCUGUGUCCUAUAAAGAUGUUAUGCCCCAAAAAUGAAGUAGAGGGCCAUACCCUGAGGGAGGGAAGGGAGCUCCAGAGUUGGAAGCGUAAUGCCUUUUGUCUUCAUUUAUAUGAAUAGGAAGGAUACAAUUUCUGAGGCUCCCCAUAUUCUAGCUUCAGGAAUAGCUUUUGUUAGGCCUGCUUGUCUGAGGAGGGAUCCUAAAAUUCCAGAUAGUCCCCCAUACGAUGGGGCUUUGGGCAAAAAUUAUGUCUUUCUCAUUGGUGAGCCUGGGUGCCUAAAGAUGGUAACAGAGUCCGGAAGUUUAUACUAGAAAUCAUUCUUAUAGGGGAAACUAGAAAAGCACCAGAGACAGGGAGUGGUUUUUAGAAGCGGGACUAGCCUCGGAGAAGAGAAGCAAGAGGAAGUUUGUCUGGCAGGCAUUAGGACCCAGGAGGCAAGGGUUAGGGUAGAUAGAAUAGAUAGGUGAGUCUCACUUGGGCGACAUGACUUUGAGAGUUUCACUCAUGGCCGCAGGGUCAAUGAACUUGUUGUCAGGACCCCAGAGCUGAAUGGCUUUCCUCCCUGUCAACCCUUGGUUCAGCCUGGAAGUACAGGAAUAAUGGAAGCUGGUUCCAGGCAAACCAACGCUCCCAACUCCAAAGAGUUGGGGGUUGUUAGAGAGCCCUUUCCCAGAAAGCCUGACACCCGUGUCUUUAGUCUGGCGGCCACACUAGUUGCUUUUAACUGGUCGACAGGUGCCCAGUAUUUAGCCCCCGAAUUCUAAGGAAAAAUAGGAUGAAUAGCAAGUGAAAGGGGUCCGAUGGUACUCACUGCUUGGCGAUAGGUGAUAGGCGAUAGUCCCUUCGUGGUCACCAAAAUUUGUCUGGAAUUGGUUCCUUCCAGUGGGUUCUUGGUCUCGCUGACUUCAAGAAUGAAGCUGCGGACCCUCACAGUGAGUGUUGCAGUUCUUAAAGGUGGUGUGUCCAGAGUUUGUUCCUUUCAAUGUUCAGAUGCAUCCAGAGUUUCUUCCUUCUGGUGGGUUUGUGGUCUUGCUGACUUCAGGAGUGAAGCUGCAGACCUUUGCAGUGAGUGUUACAGGUCUUAAAGGUGGUGUGUCGGGAGUUGUUUGUUCCUCCUGGUGGGUUUGUGGUCUCGCUGGCUUCAGGAGUGAAGCCGUAGACCUUCGUGGUGAGUGUUACAGCUCAUAAAAGCAGUGCAGACCCAAAGAGUGAGCAGCAGCAAGAUUUAUUGAAAGAGCGAAAGAACAAAACUUCCACAGCAUGGAAGGGGACCCGAGCGGGUUGCCGCUGCCAGCUCGGGUGGCCUGCUUUUAUUCCCUUACUUGGCCCCACCCACAUCCUGCUGAUUGGUCCAUUUUACAGAGAGCUGAUUGGUCCAUUUUACAGAGUGUUGACUGGUCCAUUUUACAAUACUUUAGCUAGACAGAAAAGUUCUCCAAGUCCCCACCCAACCCAGAAGCCCAGCCGGCUUCACCUCUCAAUGGGAUGAUCUGUUGGUGAUGGGAUGAUCUGUUCAGCAAACCGCCAUGGCACACGUUUACCUGUGUAACAAACCUGAACAUCCUGCACAUGUACCCUUGAAUUUAAAAUAAAAGUUGAAGCAAAAAAUGUAUUUCCAACGAAAAUAUAGCAUUUAAUGUGAGAUGUGCCAUAAUCUCUGUCCUACCUUCUUAAGGGCAAUGGAUGAAAUCAGUAUCUACUGGAAGGAGUAAAAAUAUUAAAUAAUUGAAGCAAAAUGGAUUGGAAGCCCAAAAUUUGGAGAUUUUCUUGGGGUGCUCUGUGGUAAGAAUAAUGCCCCCCCCGCAAUCGUAUCCAUGGCCAAGUCUCCAGAACCUGUGAACAUGCUACUUUACAUAGCAAAAGGGACUUUGCAGAUGUUAUUAAAUUAAGGAUUUGCGGAUGGGGCAAUUAUUCUGGAUUAUGCAGGUGGACCUGGUGCGUCCUUAGAAGAAAGAGGCAAAAGAGUCAGAGGAGAGAAGGAGAUGUGAAGAAGGAAGCAGAGAGAGAGAUUUGAGGCUACUACACUGUUGGUUUUUAAGAUGGAUGAAAGAAUUCAGGCAGCCUCUGGAAGCUGGAAAAGGCUAUCUGCCUAGAGCCUCCGGAGGAGUGUAGCGUCAUCAAUACCUUGACUUUGGCUCAUUGAAACCCAUUUCAGACUUCUGACCUCCAGAACUGUAAGAAAGAGUAAAUCUGUGAAAUUUUAAGUCACCAAGUUUGUGGUAAUUUGUUACAGCCACUAAAAGAAACUAGUAUAUUCCCCCCAAAACAUAUACAGAAUGAAAGAUCAAUAACAUUGCUUAUUUAUUUUUUCCUUCUUAUUAUUUGUUGUGCCUUGCCUUUCAAUAAAAUAUGAUUAUUCAUAAUCAAA